CCCUUAGAUGUUCUGGGCCGCACGCGCGCUACACUGAUGAAUUCAACGAGUUUUCCACCUUGACCGAGAGGUCCGGGAAAUCUUUUCAACUUUCAUCGUGCUGGGGAUAGAUUAUUGCAAUUAUUGAUCUUGAACGAGGAAUUCCUAGUAAGCGCGAGUCAUCAGCUCGCGUUGAUUACGUCCCUGCCCUUUGUACACACCGCCCGUCGCUCCUACCGAUUGAAUGGUCCGGUGAAGCGUUCGGACCGUGGCCUUUGGACGGUUCGCCGUCUGUUGGCUGCGGGAAGUUCGUUAAACCUUAUCAUUUAGAGGAAGGAGAANUCGUAACA
rnacentral:rRNA from 1 species